ACUCAGAUAAUCUCUGGGUCUAUCCCCGUUGCUGCAAAUGGCAUUAUUUCAUUCUGUUUUAAGGCUGAAUUGAGCAUUUGGCUGCGCAAAGGGUUUCAGAGUAAUGGGUUUCACUUCUGUUUCAAAAUCUCAAAUAUGCCACAUGGUUUUUAAGGUCUUUAAAGUUUAGAGGGAAUGUUUCCUGACCCACAAGUGUUUUCUUUCCUGUGUAACUAACUCUAUAUGAAUUGCAAUGAUGAUCAUGAUCAUAAAGGCGAGAUAUGCACGCGCUGGAUCACAAUCAGUAGGUUAGGAAGCAAACAGGUGAGUUUUAGAAAGUUUUGAAAGGAGGAAAACCUCAUGGUCUAACUUCAGUGGAUGAUGCAUUUUGAAGGUUGGGCUUGGGGCCACGGGAUUGUUUCAUGGUUACAAACAUUCUCUCUGCUGGUUGGUGGUAUAGAGGUUAGCAUACCUGCCUUCCAAACAUUCUCUCUUCUUCCAAAUCUUUACGUUUUUCCCAUAUAUUGCUUUUCUACCUUUUUCAAGGCAGUUUAACUCUGAGCGUGCUGGAACUUGAAAUCUGGUCUCCAAUUCAGAACAGCAACAGGCUUUGUAGAAAAUGUGAACCAGGGAAAGCAGGAAAAGUGAAAAGUGGGUUGCAUGACGGAUGCGUCUGUGGAGGAGAAGGAAGGAAGAUUUUAGCCAAAUGGACCUUAAGGCCAAGCAGUGAAACCCAGCAACGCCAACAAAACAAAGGAAAACCCCAGGAAACAAUAGGGACGUGAUGAGGAGUCGCAGGAAGACAUUGUCAAUUAUCCAAAACGGCACAAUCACAUUUUCUUUAAUUUCAUCAUUUAAUAUCGAAGGGAAAAUGACAGACAAGGGAUUCUUAUUGGUUCGAUUUUAACCGCAUUAAAAAAUUUCCAGAGCUAUCCCUGACCUCGCUUGGCCCCUAUAAGUAGGUAAUCGCUGAAGGAUCAAUCCCCUUGUCAUUCAACAAUAGGCCCCAAACGAAGGCAGUAUAUUCAAUCAAGCGAUAGAGACACACAGCUGAAGGUAACAGAAUACAGAGAAAGCUUAAAGUACGAUAGCCACAAAAGUGCUGGGAUAAAUACCAGGAAAGCACGUGUCACUGAGGACCUCCGAUAAUGUAACUGUAAUGGGGGAAAAAAAAUACUGUUUAUUAAGCUUAUAAGGGGCUGACACCAUGCCUGUGAGGCGUAACUUAUAGGAAGAAAAGUGUGGCUGGGAUUAGAUAAAUUUAAGUAUUGUUUAAUGAAAGAGUUUUCUUUGGAAGUACUUCCCUGAAACUGGAGCGUUUCCCUGUCAGGAGGGAGGUCAAGUUAAGAGGCAGAACUGCGCAGACGCAGUAGACAGGGAAAAACAAGGAUGCGCUGGGAGGGGAAGAGGGUUCCGUCCCUCCUCCGCCAGCCCGGUGCAAUGUGGGGCCGCCGCAACACUGUGAACAGAGGUCCUGUCACCCACUGAAUUAAACAUAGAAAGAGGUCCUCUGGUUUUGCUUCCAUAGUUCUUCGAACAACCUCCACACUAGCGGCGGCCGCUGUGCCAGCUGUCCUGAGGCCUGAGGAAUCCGACAAUGAUUCCCAACCUCUUGAUGUGCAGAGUCACUUUUUCCUUCACAGAGUCUGCCCUGUUUUCUUCUUUUCAGUGUCAUGGGAUAGAAAUACACAAUGCAUGGAAUAGCCGUUUUCAAGGGACAUGCAUCCUACAUCCUCCUUUCAUCAUCAUCAUCCCAGUUACAUACAAACCCUGGACCUGGGUUUGGAUCAGCUCUGAAAAUUACCAGGGGCAUGACCUUGAGGGAUUUACUCGGCUUCUUGGAGCUUUAGUUACAACAUCCAUAAUGUGGUGGGGGGCUUCCCCUCUCAUCAAAUGCAUCAGCUUUAAUACCAUUACAAGGGUUGAGCAGAUAAUGCCCUCAAGAGACUCAGUGUGCCCCUGGGCACAGAAUCAGACCACAGAAGAUGUUGAUCAUACGAUGAAUUGUGUCAGCAAGAGCGACAGCGGUGGCAAAUUCUUUUGGAUGUGUGGACCCUACCUUGAAGGGAAGGUGCAGAGGGAACUAUGUGAGUUAACUAAGACACUUAGAAGACACUUGAGAGACAGUAGCUACCUCUGAUAAAUAUAUAUCUUCUGGGAGUAGAAGGCGGGAACGGGAGCAGCCAGAAAAAAGUAUAAGGGACAGGACACCCCUUUAGAGAUCAAUAACUAUCUAAGGCAGUGUUGUAAAGUGACAAAUGAGAGGUAAUAAAUACCGCCAAGGAGGGGAGGGGUCGUUAAGGGCCUGAGUCACCAGGGAAACUGGUACUAGAACUGGGAUUCGAGGAAAGACCAGCAGCAUGAGGAACGUGGACAGGAUGGCUUCCUCUGGGCACCCCCUUUCUGGAGGAUUCUGGCCAGGCAGCAAUCCCCUGGAAACUUCCCCAAUAGGGGGCUACUAUGCUAUUAUGUGUGAGUAAAUAUUCCAUUGGUGGGAGGGUUAUUGCUAUUAUUAUUAAUGAUAAUACUACUUGAAGCCACAGCCAAUUUAACUCAACCAUUUGGAAGAGCGACAUGGCUCUAUUAUCCAAUUGAUAAUUUCAGGGUUUUAUUCACAGGCACAAUCAUAAGAAAAACAAGGAGAAGACAGUCUCUGGGUUGUGUACAUAUGCACAGACUUUGCCUUUUGAGAAGAUAAUUGGGCAUGGGAGUCACAAAGCAAAGAUCAUUAAGAUUUACAAAGAAAGGAAGAAAGGAGAACAGCCCCUUGCCAUCGCUGGGUGUCCUAUGGGAGGCCUGGGAGGCACUAGACUUCUUGGAGCUGCAUCGGUGCCCAACAAGGAGGCAGCAGUCCUCAGGGAGAAGACAAAUACAGUGUUUUCACACCCCAGAGUGAUGAACAUUGUAAUGGAAGGAUGCUGUAAGGAAAACCGCCCACCUGGUUUGCCAAGAGACUGCAAGAGGCUGCACCUUCAGCAUGGAUAUUCCAGGGUUAGGGGUUGGAUCAGAUCUGCUGCUGAGGCCUACUUCACAGCCACAGCAACACUGGAUCCCAGCUGCAUCUCUGAUCUACACUGCAGCUUAUGGCAACUAGGGAUCCUUAACCCACUGAGCAAGACCAGGGAUCGCAUCCACCUUCUCACAGACAUGUCGUCACGAUGCACAGGAUGCUAAGCCACAAGGGAACUCCGUGAUUAUUGUUCCCUUUUUAAAAAUGAAUGCAUGCUUUUGAGUGUGAUAUGGAAUAUCUGGAGAAAUCACUAUGUGGAAGAAAGAAAGUUUUUCGAAAAUUAUUAGUUUCUCUCACAAUAAGUCAUGUGAGUAAAUUAAAUAUAGCAAUUGUAUGUAAAUAUGUGAUUUCUAGCUGAAAUAUUAUUGGGUUUAAAAUUUGAAAUAGUUUAGCAGCCAUCCCAUCCAAUAUUUGUUUUACCGAUUUUAGCAUUCAUAGUGUUGGAUUGUUAACUGAUUCAAUACCGUCAUCUUUUAAAUGAUGUUACUAUUCAGGAUAUAUACAAAUUGUGUUAAGAUGUAUUAUUUGGUAGCAACAACUUACACUUUGUUUUCAAAUAUAAUUCCAUGAUGAAAUAAAUAAGAAGGUAUUAAAUCACACUUACUAAUAGAAUCCUAUUGCAUGCAUCAGGAAUUUAAAUAGAAGCGUUAUCUGGAUUAAGACUUUCUAUAAUGUACAAAUGUGCUAUAUUUGUGGUGAUUGCAGCUACUUCAGAGAAUUGAUAGCAAAGAAUGAUAGGGUGAAUAUUAUUACUUUAGUAAUGGAUUCAUGUAUUUAUUCACUUUUCAACGUAAUAAUAAGUAUAUAAGGAAUACCUGUUCAGUAGAUCAAGAAAUGUGUAGGUCCUACCCUGAAAGAUGACAUCAUUUACAGAAAGGAGGUCAUUGGCUCGCUCAUAUUAAGCAUGCUUAGUCCUAGAAGGUCUACAGCCUGCAGAAACAUUUACGUCUCCUGAUGAAAGGGUAGCGAGCUAGAGGAGGGUCCCCUUAACAGAAGCUGGAUUCUAGCAGUCCAUUUGCUCUUGCACGCCUCAAAAUCUCAUUCCUUUCACUCAGGUCACCCAGUGUCACUAUUAAAUAAACUUUAUGAGUGAAGUGACAAAAACUGUGGCAUCUUCAGCCUCUGGUGCUUGGUCUUUGUGAUGGUACUUUGUUAGGAAUAUCGAGGGCUUUCAGACAUACCAAGGUGAUUCCCCCCAGGCUCAGAUUUCUUCAGACCUGGAGACUCACCAUCAGCUGCAGAACUGACCCAUUCACAAGCCAGCUACCUUCUCGAAAACCACCUUCAGCACUUGGGAUCAUUGCCUUUCCUGUAAGCGUCAUGAAGCUCUCAUGGCAGGCAUGAGAGAAUUUUAUGGUUCAUUGUCUAUGCUGAAAAUGAUGGAGUUGAUCAAAGCCACAGCCCCCUGGUCACGGACCCAGCCUCCCUGGCCACUCAGCUGCACAGGAGCCUAGGUUUGUUUAUGUUCCAGAGCUGCUGAGAACAUCUGUGCUCUGGGCACAUGUGUCUGGAUUUUCUGGAAUGAACAUCUGCUCAUAGGAGAGAACUGUGAGUUAACAUAGUCCGCGGGCAGUCUGUUUAUUCACUGAAUAAUAAGAUAGAAUUAUUCUGUGAUAUCUACAUUCUAUUCCUCUUCAUUCUAGAAAGGAUCUUGCCUAGGAAAUGAAAGUCUGAGGAGUUUUUAACCUCAAAAAAUAUUCCAGCCACAUUUCUAGGGGAAGACUGGGGGGAAAAAAAAAUCCCAAACCAGCUCUUAAUUAUUUUGACCUUCUCAGAAUGCAGUUUCAUUGGGAAUUAACAUUUUUGGAAAUCAGAUUUGGUUACUGUCAUCAGAUUUAACCUAAAGGAUUUCAGAGGGCUUGGGCUAGAAGAAUUCAUUCAUAUCCGUGAGGACAAAUCUCUAAAAAAAUGAUUUAGCUCUUGAUCGAAUCUUUCUACUGUGAAUUUACCUCGGCUGCAUUUGGGUUUUAUUUUGGAAAACAAUCUUUAAAUAACUCUGAGCAGGUAAUACAAAGUGAAAGAAAGUACAUUUCUGAUGGCAAUAGUGAACUUGAAUUUUUCGUCCUCAGGAAACGGGCCUUAGAUUUGCACUGGAGAAAUGAUCUCGUUUCAGAGGUAAGGUGUUUAUGAAAACUGAUAUGCUAAUAUCUGCAAAUUUGAAGCUUUGCAGAAUAAGGUCACUUUAUUUGUAUACACUGAUAUAAAUCCCUAUUUUAUUUCAUGCUUUUGUUUUCUAUCAGGAGCUUGCCAGCCUCAAAUAAAAGAAUAGCUAAAAUGUUGGAUCAGACAACUCCAACAUAGAAAUAAUUGACAACCGUUGUUUCUCGAAGUUCAUUUUCUGCCUUAAGCCAUGGACAACGAGGCACUCUCCUGUAAUCAAAUAUACACAAACAUUAACAUCAGGUGUUCACACUAUUUUCAGAAAUUAAUGAUGCUACAUAUUUUAAAGGUGAAGUUUAUUUUGUGUGUAAAAUAAAGGCAACUUGAUAAUAAGGACCUGGAUGCUGACAGGAAUUAUGAAAUCAUUCUAGAGUACAUCCCUCCCUGUUCUGCUUCCACAUGAAAUUUUUUUCCCCCCAAAACCCGAUUACUAAUAAAGUAAAAUCAGGGGGAAAAUGGUUAGGUUUUCUCUUGACAGGCAUUCUUGUAGAACUCUUGAGUGACCUAAAUUUGAACAAGGCUGCAUUCAAAUGGCUUAGAAUGUUCUCCAUUAAAUAUAAGGAAAUCCAGUUAAUUAAUUAGCCCUUGGUGUUAAAUGAAUUUUUUAAGCCUGAGAGAUGAGGGGAAUGUGGGAUUUGUGGUGACUUGACAGUGAACAUGAAUGAUGUUGAACCCAGAGUGAUUGUGAAUAUGAACUACCUUGCAGCUGGGAAUCCAGCAGCAGAAGACAGGCAGGAAUAGCAGGAAUAGCAGCCUGGUCUGAUCACAGCAGGUGGACGUUCAUUCUGUAGCAAUGCCUACGGACGACUUCUUUCCUCUCAUCCACAGUGAUUACGGAUUAUAGUCCAUCAUUUUAUUGUUUCUCAAGAUAAGUUUUCGAAGUAACUGCACAUUAACUGAUAAUGCUAAUUAUAUUAACUUGUAAAUUUUUUUUGUUUGUU